AUCUAACUUCUAACUGUAAGUCGCUUUUGGAUAAAAGCGCCAGCUAAAUGCAUGUAACAUGCUUGAAAGUUUCAACCUCAAGAGAGCAGUGCAGCAGAAACUUGCCAUAUAGGAUUUAGUGUCAACUAGAAAUAAGACCGUCACAAUGGCAAUGACCACCACGAGCGGAGUGCGAAGCAUCCCAGAUAGCAGUUGAUCCUAUCCGCCUCCUGUCGCACUCGGUUUGGUCAUGCCACCGGAUCCGCGCACCAUCAGACAGCGUUGUGACUGCGGUGGAUGCUCCACGUUGUUGCCCUUCGACUUUUCAAACUGGUAUUUUCAAAACUGCAGCUCUUUGCGCCAGAAGUACGAGUUAGUUGGUGAUGGUGUAUAAGCUGAUGUUGCUACUGCACGUGUCCCCUCUGCCAGGGCUGGUCCAGCUAACUACCAGGUGUGGUUCUCAUGGAGCUAUCUUCUGCAGCUAGCGCUGAAUUGUCAGUGGUUAUGUUACUUAAGCUCCAACCCAAGGGUGCGCGAUGGAAGCUGAGCGAGCUAACCGCUAGCCCGCGAGCUAAUAACGAGCGCUAGCUCGCGAGCUAAUAGCGCUAGCUCGCGAGCUAAUAGCGAGCGCCAGCACAGACCUGUUUUAAUUUAAUUCUGCAUGUAUUGAGUUCUCAACACGUAACUUAGAAUUUGCAAUGUCAUCCUCACAGUUGUACAGAAGUGACAACACUGUUGAUCGCCAUCUCUACAACUCAGAUAAAAUGAACAGAAAGAAUGGGCCUGUCUCCAGCUCCACCAUUAGACGGAGGGUCCGUCAAGAUGUUUUGACUACAUCACUGUGAUUGAUGGGAAACUGAAUACAACUUUGACUGUUAAGUAAAGUUUCUUCUCUUCAAUGUGUAUAACACGCCUAUUAUUGCCGUUUAAUCUCUUUUUUUUACGGUAUACCUCGUGUUUUCAAACACAAAUUUUCAUACUCCUGGUUAUAAAGAACUUUAAUAGUUGCAAAAUAUUAUUUUUUUCAAAGUUCUUGGAACAGAAGGUUAUAUUUCUGUGACAAGUGACACUGUUUGUUUCUUUCCUCUGUAAUUCAGGAUGUUCCACUUCAUAGAA